GCGGCGGCGCGCGGUGCCGGUGGGGCCGGCCAGGGCCGGCCAGGGCCACGCCUCUGCCGGAGCCCAGGAGCGGAGCGCGGGUGGGCGGGCGCCGCGCCCUGACGCGGGUGAGCUCUCGGCGCGCAGCAGGACCGCCUCCUGGCGCCACCCGCGCCCCGGGCCAGGAGGCCGCGACCGGCGGGUGUGUUGUAAAGCGGGCUUGCGCUGAACUGCUCUCCCGGAGCGACCAGUCAGUGUCCUGAGCCCGAGCGGUCUGCCUCCGACGCACCCGUCCUCUCUCCAGAUCGUGCAGUAGUGAUUACUCGAAGUCGCUGCUGUUCCCCAACAGCUCGGCCCCACGCCACGCUGAUCCCUAGGACAGACCUCUUCAUCGUAACAUGGGACAUGCCAGCCCCGGCCUGCGGUGGGCCGGGUGGCGCUGGCCCUCGAUGGUCCGAUCUAGCAGAAGGAGGUGGGAUGACUGGUCUCCCCCGUAAACCAGAAGUCAUUGCGACCAUCCCAUCCACCGCAGCAAGUCAGACCUUCCCCCAGUUUGAGUCGGCGUCCCGCUACCCCUUGGCAGCACGCAGCUCUGCGUUCUCCAGCACACCAUCAAAUGCCACCGCACCAGCUGUGAAGGUGUCAGAAAGGCGACGCCGAGCAAAGGUUUGGGGCCACAUUUGGGGAUUCAAGGAACAGGGUGCAAACACAACCGAAGUAGAAACAAGCUCUCUCCAGAAGUGUGGCAGAAACCUACCGAGCAGAGUCAGCCCAGCCCUGUUGUUGGUGCCAUCCUCGGAUGGGCACUUUAGGUAGCUCUCCAUAUUUAGGCUGCUCCCUUGUCAUAAGGGCAUGCUUCUUAAAAAGAAUACAGCUGUUCAAAGAGCAAAUGCACCUUCCUUAGUGCUGUCAAUUCAGUCACUUGCUCCCUAAUUUGAGGCCUCUCAAAGCAUAGAAAAAGAAAUAGUAAUCCUUGAAGAAGACUCAAAAGAGAUUCACUGAACUGCAGCACUUUCUUAAUAGUCAACAUCAAGUUACAUACAGCCUGUGCAGUGAGAGAAGUUUCGACUUCUGGGGCUGUGGACAAAUGUAACGCUGAACUGUUUCAAAAGGGUGGGUGCUUGGAGCGUACAUCAGCCAAUUCGAUGCAACUGUUUCACCCAUCCGUUCCUAGUCCCCGCAUGCCACUGUUGCACUCACUGAUGUUGUCUAAUGAUCCUUCGAUCACCACUUGAUGCUGUGGAUGCUCCUCUCCACUCGGGGGAGAACUUCUGGUCCCGGACCCAGUAAAGCCCAGAAGUGCUUCGCCUCCUGGUCUGCCAGAGUUCUCCGUUCACUGCCCCUUCCCAGGGCCUGAAAUCACCAACUGUGGUCUCUCUCCUCCAAUCCAGAGGGAGCACCAGCUUUGAAAAUGAUGUGGCACCAUCCUGGCCAGAGUCCUAACCUCUGCAUCUCUUGGGGUGUGCCAAAAGAGGGACAACUCAAUGACUGUUGUAGCCCACGUGGAAAUCUAAGGUAUGACACUUAGUAAACUAGAAGCAAGUGUGAGACUGCUGUUCCAGAGGGGUAUGUUGGGAGUCCCUGGUUAGAGGGGGUAUUCUAGAGUUGAGGGCUCCUCCCUGCCCCUGGUGCUAAAGGUAACUGCUGCUUCUGCACAUGAAGAACAAGUAGUGGCAGCUUUAACAGCAGGUUUGCAAAACCCAGCAUUGGUAAUGUGAAUGAAGACCAGCCCAGAACCCUUCAGAAAUUUCCCUGAGCUGCCCAAUUUGAGAGGGUUUGAAUACAAAAUGGCUUUCCCUGAAAGUGCGGCCACACAACAGCUCCUAGUUGUCCGUCACAGGUGCUUUGAACUGUUCAGCUGCAGGUGGCCCUGCUAGCCAUCUCCUGCAAGAGCCACACCAAUUACUCAUACCUACUUUGCUUUCAGGGUGUUGCUUCUGUCAGACCUAAUGCCCUAGAAAUGGGUGGGUUGGACUGUGCUCAUUGGGAUGGAGGCUUCUGGCUAACUUCUACUCAGCCAAUUUCCUACUUCGACUUUACACAGGGUGCAGCAUCUGAGCAUUCACCCGACAGCAGGAUGGGUUGAGGCCCAGCUGGUUCCUCCUAAGCGACUGCAAAGACUUCUAUUUCACACAACGUAUUUUCUGUUCUGACUGCAUGUUGGAAGCUGUAUGAAAAACCUGUUCACUUAUCUGUGUUGGCUGGUACUUUGUUUGAUGAGGGUGAGGGACUGGUUGAAGCUGUAUACACCUUGUAGAUUGCUGAAUGUAAAAAUAAGUAAAUAAAUAAAAAUGUAGCGAGUUAAA